UGGGGAAUUUUGGACAAUGGGCGAAAGCCUGAUCCAGCAAUGCCGCGUGUGUGAAGAAGGCCUUCGGGUUGUAAAGCACUUUUGUCCGGAAAGAAAUCCUUGGCUCUAAUACAGUCGGGGGAUGACGGUACCGGAAGAAUAAGCACCGGCUAACUACGUGCCAGCAGCCGCGGUAAUACGUAGGGUGCAAGCGUUAAUCGGAAUUACUGGGCGUAAAGCGUGCGCAGGCGGUUUGCUAAGACCGAUGUGAAAUCCCCGGGCUCAACCUGGGAACUGCAUUGGUGACUGGCAGGCUAGAGUAUGGCAGAGGGGGGUAGAAUUCCACGUGUAGCAGUGAAAUGCGUAGAGAUGUGGAGGAAUACCGAUGGCGAAGGCAGCCCCCUGGGCCAAUACUGACGCUCAUGCACGAAAGCGUGGGGAGCAAACAGGAUUAGAUACCCUGGUAGUCCACGCCCUAAACGAUGUCAACUAGUUGUUGGGGAUUCAUUUCCUUAGUAACGUAGCUAACGCGUGAAGUUGACCGCCUGGGGGAGUAC
rnacentral:rRNA from 1 species